rnacentral:lncRNA from 1 species
AUUCUUGCCAUACUUUGACUUUUGGAUACUUGAGGGCUUCCAACAUAAUCUUCAACUUGAGCACAUCCAACUUGAGCUAGUGACUUAAGGCUUCCUUUCGUCCAUAAUAAAGUAUACUUGAAGUCUUUAGUCACUCCAUUUUACCAACUAUGAUAGACUAGAUGCAUUGCAUUGCUUCCCUUGGUAAGGUCUAGAAAUGAUACCUCGAAACCCCCCGGAUACUAGCUACUUCACCCUAGCAAUAUUCCCAUGGCACAAGCCGUCGCUUAUCCAAAGCUUUCUUAGUCCCUUGUCUCUAGUAUCUCGUUUGAUUUCUUCACCCAUUCUUGCCACAUUGAGUUUAGCUUUGCUUUGACACCAAUAGUUAAAUCCCAUUUGAAGUCUUCUUCAAAUGCUUGAUCUAGGUUGAUAAAGAAACUUCCAUGAAUUGCAAUCUUCC